UACGAAGGGGGCUAGCGUUGCUCGGAAUCACUGGGCGUAAAGCGCACGUAGGCGGACUCUUAAGUCAGGGGUGAAAUCCUGGAGCUCAACUCCAGAACUGCCUUUGAUACUGGGAGCCUUGAGUUCGAGAGAGGUGAGGUGGAACUGCGAGUGUAGAGGUGAAAAUUCGUAGAUAUUCGCAAGAACACCAGUGGCGAAGGCGGCUACUGGCUCGAUACUGACGCUGAGGUGCGAAAAGCGUGGGGGAGCAAACAGG
rnacentral:rRNA from 1 species